UACGUAGGGGGCAAGCGUUGUCCGGAAUCAUUGGGCGUAAGGAGCGCGUAGGCGGCCCUGUAAGUCCGCUGUGAAAGUCAAGGGCUCAACCCUUGGAUGCCGGUGGAUACUGCAGGGCUAGAGUCCGGAAGAGGCGAGUGGAAUUCCUGGUGUAGCGGUGAAAUGCGCAGAUAUCAGGAGGAACACCGAUGGCGAAGGCAGCUCGCUGGGACGGUACUGACGCUGAGGCGCGAAAGCGUGGGGAGCAAACAGG
rnacentral:rRNA from 1 species